UUUAGUUCUGCUCUGAUCUUUGUUAUUUCCUUUCUUCUGCUGGGUUUGGGUUUGGUUUGUUCUUGUUUCUCUAGUUCCUUCAGGUGUGACCUUAGAAUCUUAGGUUGUGCUCUUUCAAAUAUCUUUUUGAUGU